UACGUAGGGUGCAAGCGUUAAUCGGAAUUACUGGGCGUAAAGCGUGCGCAGGCGGCUUUGCAAGACAGAUGUGAAAUCCCCGGGCUUAACCUGGGAACUGCAUUUGGGACUGCACGGCUAGAGUACGGCAGAGGAGACUAGAAUUCCUGGUGUAGCAGUGAAAUGCGUAGAUAUCAGGAGGAAUACCGAUGGCGAAGGCAGGUCUCUGGGUCGAUACUGACGCUCAUGCACGAAAGCGUGGGGAGCAAACAGG
rnacentral:rRNA from 1 species